GGGGGGCUUUCAUGCAAGUCGCACGGGGUACCCCAAAGGAGUUUUCGGACAACUGCGGGGAAUACCUAGUGGCGGACGGGUGAGUAACGCGUGAGUAACCUGCCUUGGAGUGGGGAAUAACAGCUGGAAACAGCUGCUAAUACCGCAUAAUGCAGUUGAGUCGCAUGGCUCUGACUGCCAAAGAUCUAUCGCUCUGAGAUGGACUCGCGUCUGAUUAGCUAGUUGGUGGGGCAACGGCCCACCAAGGCGACGAUCAGUAGCCGGACUGAGAGGUUGGCCGGCCACAUUGGGACUGAGACACGGCCCAGACUCCUACGGGAGGCAGCAGUGGGGAAUAUUGGGCAAUGGGCGCAAGCCUGACCCAGCAACGCCGCGUGAAGGAAGAAGGCUUUCGGGUUGUAAACUUCUUUUAAGAGGGAAGAGCAGAAGACGGUACCUCUUGAAUAAGCCACGGCUAACUACGUGCCAGCAGCCGCGGUAAUACGUAGGUGGCAAGCGUUGUCCGGAUUUACUGGGCGUAAAGGGCGUGCAGCCGGGCUGACAAGUCAGAUGUGAAAUCCCGCGGCUCAACCGCGGAACUGCAUUUGAAACUGUUAGUCUUGAGUACCGGAGAGGUCAUCGGAAUUCCUUGUGUAGCGGUGAAAUGCGUAGAUAUAAGGAAGAACACCAGUGGCGAAGGCGGAUGACUGGACGGCAACUGACGGUGAGGCGCGAAAGCGUGGGGAGCAAACAGGAUUAGAUACCCUGGUAGUCCACGCUGUAAACGAUGGAUACUANGUGUGCGGGGACUGACCCCCUGCGUGCCGCAGUUAACACAAUAAGUAUCCCACCUGGGGAGUACGAUCGCAAGGUUGAAACUCAAAGGAAUUGACGGGGGCCCGCACAAGCAGUGGAGUAUGU
rnacentral:rRNA from 1 species